UACGUAGGGCGCAAGCGUUGUCCGGAAUUAUUGGGCGUAAAGAGCUCGUAGGCGGUUUGUUGCGUCGGCUGUGAAAUCCCGAGGCUCAACCUCGGGUCUGCAGUCGAUACGGGCAGACUAGAGGUAGGUAGGGGAGAAUGGAAUUCCCGGUGUAGCGGUGAAAUGCGCAGAUAUCGGGAGGAACACCGGUGGCGAAGGCGGUUCUCUGGGCCGUACCUGACGCUCAUGCACGAAAGCGUGGGGAGCAAACAGG
rnacentral:rRNA from 1 species